AUUUAGGAAAUGUUCUAAAUAGUUAAUAAAUAUUAUGAUCUGACUGAGAUGUGAUUAAAACCAAGUGUAGGAGUGUCUAUAUUCAUUGAAGUGGUAGCUGUCACAUUGCCAUUUCUGCCACAAAUGCUGUUUUACCCUUGAAAACAAGUCUCUCCAUUAGGAAAGGUAUAAGUCAGCUGCUUGGAUACGGUUAUGCAACUCUUUCUUUCAAUGCUAAAAGCAGACUCAGAGUUCUUGUUUUUCUUUUCCACGAAAGGAGGUGAAAAUCUGACAGCUCAAAAUGAAGCAAAAAUCCGAGAUAAAACAGACACCAUUUUGUGCCCACUCAGUCUUCUCUCCAGGGUCAUACAUGUGACCAUUUAUCACCAUAGCCUGUAAUAGGUGUAGGAUGGACCCACAGGACUGUGGGAUUUUCUUCCUGGCAGCCCUCAACUAAUACUAGGUAACUUAAAUUCUUGUUGCCUGCAUUAUGCUUUAGAGGAAAUGUGGGGGAACAAAAGAGUUGGGAAUCUUGCUUUCCACCAAUAUGCAAAUUACUUAGCAUUCUACAAAUGUCAGAUUCUAAGAGCAAAUGAUUUUCAUUUUCAUCACCACAGCUUCUGUAGCUAAUAAAUGAAGAUAACUGUACUUGUCUCA
rnacentral:lncRNA from 1 species